CAGCCGCCGCGGUAAUACGAAGGGUGCGAGCAUUAAUCGGAAUUACUGGGCGUAAAGCGUGCGCAGGCGGUUCGGAAAGAAAGAUGUGAAAUCCCAGGGCUUAACCUUGGAACUGCAUUUUUAACUACCGGACUAGAGUGUGUCAGAGGGAGGUGGAAUUCCGCGUGUAGCAGUGAAAUGCGUAGAGAUGCGGAGGAACACCGAUGGCGAAGGCAGCCUCCUGGGAUAACACUGACGCUCAUGCACGAAAGCGUGGGGAGCGAACAGGAUUAGAUACCCCAGUAGUCCCUGUCUCUUAUAC
rnacentral:rRNA from 1 species